rnacentral:rRNA from 1 species
UACGUAGGGGGCAAGCGUUGUCCGGAUUUAUUGGGCGUAAAGAGCGUGUAGGCGGCUGGGUAGGUCCGUUGUGAAAACUCGAGGCUCAACCUCGAGACGCCGAUGGAAACCCUCCAGCUAGAGUCCGGAAGAGGAGAGUGGAAUUCCUGGUGUAGCGGUGAAAUGCGCAGAUAUCAGGAAGAACACCCGUGGCUAAGGCGGCUCUCUAGUACGGUACUGACGCUGAGACGCGAAAGCGUGGGG